rnacentral:tRNA from 1 species
GCGCUUGUAGCUCAGUUGAAUUAGAGUGCAACCCUCCGAAGGUUGAGGUCACGCGUUUAAAUCGCGUCAAGCGCACCA